rnacentral:ncRNA from 1 species
CUUAUCAAGAGUGACCGAGGGAACAGGCCCGAUGACGUCCGGCAACCAUCGCAUGACAGCGUAACUGCGAGAAGGUGCCAAGUCCUGCAGAAUAGUGUUCUGAAAGAUGAGG